CGAGUACGACCCGUUACGACGGGGAAGUGUCUGAUGUCAGGCUUCCAAGAAAAGCCCGAACCACGUUAAUUCAAAUUGGCCCGUACCCUAAACCGACACAGGUGGGAAGGUAGAGUAUACCCAGGGGCGCGAGAUAACUCUCUCUAAGGAACUUGGCAAAAUGGCCUCGUAACUUCGGGAGAAGGGGUGCCACCGAGAGGUGGUCGCAGUGAAGAGUCCCAGGCGACUGUUUACCAAAAACACAGGUCUCCGCUAAGUCGCAAGACGAUGUAUGGGGGCUGACGCCUGCCCAGUGCCGGAAGGUUAAGGAAGUUGGUCAGGUUCUUCGGAAUUAAAGCUAGCGACUGAAGCCCCGGUGAACGGCGGCCGUAACUAUAACGGUCCUAAGGUAGCGAAAUUCCUUGUCGGGUAAGUUCCGACCCGCACGAAAGGCGUAACGAUCUGGGAGCUGUCUCGGAGAGAGGCUCGGCGAAAUAGGAAUGUCUGUGAAGAUGCGGACUACCUGCACCCGGACAGAAAGACCCUAUGAAGCUUUACUGUAGCUUGGUAUUGGGUUCGGGCUUUGAUUGCGCAGGAUAGGUGGGAGACUAUGAGAUAGCUCUUGUGGGAGUUAUGGAGUCACUGGUGAGAUACCACUCUAUCAAGGCUAGAAUUCUAACUUUGACCCGUUAUCCGGGCAGAGAACAGUAUCAGGUGGGCAGUUUGACUGGGGCGGUCGCCUCCUAAAUGGUAACGGAGGCGCGCAAAGGUUCCCUCAGGCUGGUUGGAAAUCAGCCAUUGAGUGUAAAGGCAUAAGGGAGCUUGACUGCGAGACUGACAAGUCGAGCAGGUACGAAAGUAGGCCUUAGUGAUCCGACGGUUCCGCGUGGAAGGGCCGUCGCUCAACGGUUAAAAGUUACUCUAAGGAUAACAGGCUGAUCUCCCCCAAGAGUUCACAUCGACGGGGAGGUUUGGCACCUCGAUGUCGGCUCAUCGCAACCUGGGGCUGUAGUCGGUCCCAAGGGUUGGGCUGUUCGCCCAUUAAAGCGGUACGUGAGCUGGGUUCAGAACGUCGUGAGACAGUUCGGUCCAUAUCCGGUGCAGGCGUAGGAACAUUGAGAGGAGUCUUCCUUAGUACGAGAGGACCGGGAAGAACGCACCGCUGGUGUACCUGUUAUCGUGCCAACGGUAAACGCAGGGUAGCCAAGUGCGGAGAGGAUAACCGCUGAAAGCAUCUAAGUGGGAAGCCCACCUCAAGAUGAGUGUUCCCAUGGCAAAAGCCAGUAAGGUCACGGGUAGACCACCCGUUAAUAGGCGCUAGAUGGAAGUCCAGCAAUGGAUGUAGUCGAGGCGUACUAACAGACCGAGGGCUUG
rnacentral:rRNA from 1 species